GGAUGUUUAAGUCAGUUGUGAAAGUUCGGGGCUCAACCCCGGAAUUGCAGUUGAUACUGGAUAUCUUGAGUACAGUUGAGGUAGGCGGAAUUCGUGGUGUAGCGGUGAAAUGCUUAGAUAUCACGAAGAACCCCGAUUGCGAAGGCAGCUUACUAAGCUGUAACUGACAUUGAGGCUCGAAAGUGUGGGUAUCAAACAGGAUUAGAUACCCUGGUAGUCCACACGGUAAACUAUGGAUACUCGCUGUAGGCGAUACACAGUCUGCGGCCAAGCGAAAGCAUUAAGUAUCCCACCUGGGGAGUACGCCGGCAACGGUGAAACUCAAAGGAAUUGACGGGGGCCCGCACAAGCGGAGGAACAUGUGGUUUAAUUCGAUGAUACGCGAGGAACCUUACCCGGGCUUGAAUUGCAGAGGAACAUAGUUGAAAGAUUAUCGCCGCAAGGUCUCUGUGAAGGUGCUGCAUGGUUGUCGUCAGCUCGUGCCGUGAGGUGUCGGCUUAAGUGCCAUAACGAGCGCAACCCUUAUCAUUAGUUACUAACAGUUCAUGCUGAGGAUUAUAGUGAGACUGCCGUCGUAAGAUGUGAGGAAGGUGGGGAUGACGUCAAAUCAGCACGGCCUUUACGUCCGGGGCUACACACGUGUUACAAUGGGGGGUACAGAGGCCAGCUACCGGGCGACCGGAUGCCAAUCCCA
rnacentral:rRNA from 1 species